rnacentral:rRNA from 1 species
AUUGAACGCUGGCGGCAGGCCUAACACAUGCAAGUCGAACGAGUGGCGGACGGGUGAGGAAUGUCUGGGAAACUGCCUGAUGGAGGGGGAUAACGACUGGAAACGGUAGCUAAUACCGCAUACCAUCAGAGGUGCCCAGAUGGGAUUAGCUAGUUGGUGGGGUAACGGCACACCAAGGCGACGCUCCCUAGCUGGGCUGAGAGGAUGAACAAGCAACCUGGAACUGAGGAACGGGCCAGGCUCCGACGGGGAGCGAGAGGGGGGAGUUGUGCGCAAUGGGGGGCAGCCUGGUGCAGCCCUGCCGCGUGUAGUAAAGAGGCCUUCGGGUUGUAAAGUACUUUCAGUGGGGAGGCGUUACCCGCAGAAGAAGCACCGGCUAACUCCGUGCCAGCAGCCGCGGUAAUUC